rnacentral:rRNA from 1 species
AAGCUCGUAGUUGAAUUUCGAGAUCAAAUUGUUGGUCGUGCCUUGGUACGUACUGGCAUUAUUGGUUUCUCCCUUCUGAAGAACCAUGAUGUCAUUAAUUUGGUGUCAUGGGGAAUCAGGACUGUUACUUUGAAAAAAUUAGAGUGUUUAAAGCAGGCUCGCGCUUGAAUACAUUAGCAUGGAAUAAUGAAAUAGGACGUUUAAUUCUAUUUUGUUGGUUUCUAGGAUUGACGUAAUGAUUAAUAGGGAUAGUUGGG